CCUGAAAGGGCGGGGUGCCUCGCAAGAGGAGCCGCAAGACAGGUGUUGCAUGGCUGUCGUCAGCUCGUGUCGUGAGAUGUUGGGUUAAGUCCCGCAACGAGCGCAACCCUCACCGGAUGUUGCCAGCGUCAAGUCGGGCACUCUUCCGGAACUGCCCGGGUAACCGGGAGGAAGGUGGGGACGACGUCAAGUCAGCAUGGCCCGUACGCCUGGGGCUUCACACAUGCUACAAUGGCCGGUACAGAGGGUCCCAAGCCCGCGAGGGGGAGGCAAUCCCAAAAAGCCGGUCUCAGUUCGGAUCGCAGGCUGCAACUCGCCUGCGUGAAGGUGGAAUCGCUAGUAACCGCCGGUCAGCUAAACGGCGGUGAAUACGUUCCCGGGCCUUGUACACACCGCCCGUCACGUCACCUGAGUCUG
rnacentral:rRNA from 1 species